UUAUCAAAAACAUCGCCUCUUGCUAAUUACACAUAAGAGGUCCCGCCUGCCCUGUGACCCCCAGUUUAACGGCCGCGGUAUUUUGACCGUGCAAAGGUAGCGCAAUCACUUGUCCCUUAAAUGAGGACCUGUAUGAAUGGCACAACGAGGGCUUAACUGUCUCCUUUCCCCGGUCAAUGAAAUUGAUCUCCCCGUGCAGAAGCGGGGAUCCUAACAUAAGACGAGAAGACCCUAUGGAGCUUUAGACUCCAGAACAGACCAUGUCAGCUACUCCCCUUAAACAUAGUAGUAACUAUUGAGCCUCUGUUCUCUGUCUUUGGUUGGGGCGACCACGGGGAAGAAAAAAUCCCCCAUGUGGACCGGGAGCACCAAUCUCACUCCCACAACCACGAGCCACAGCUCUAAUGCGCAGAACUUCUGACCAUAUUGAUCCGGCAACUAGCCGAUCAACGGACCGAGUUACCCUAGGGAUAACAGCGCAAUCCCCUUUAAGAGUCCCUAUCGACAAGGGGGUUUACGACCUCGAUGUUGGAUCAAGACAUCCUAAUGGUGCAGCCGCUAUUAAGGGUUCGUUUGUUCAACGAUUAAAGUCUUACGUGAUCUGAGU
rnacentral:rRNA from 1 species